rnacentral:rRNA from 1 species
GCCGGCUCUCCUUGCAUUUCCGGUCUAUGUCUUUACAUACCCCAUAAGAAUGUAACAGAAUGUUAUUAAUUGGCCUUUGUGCCUUUAAUCAAAUACAACUUUCAGCAACGGAUCUCUUGGCUCUCGCAUCGAUGAAGAACGCAGCGAAAUGCGAUAAGUAAUGUGAAUUGCAGAAUUCAGUGAAUCAUCGAAUCUUUGAACGCACCUUGCGCUCCCUGGUAUUCCGGGGAGCAUGCCUGUUUGAGUGUCAUUAAAUUCUCAACCUUUCCAGCUUUUACUAGCUUGGUCAGGCUUGGAUGUGGGGGUUGCGGGCUUCUCAGAAGUCGGCUCUCCUUAAAUGCAUUAGUGAAACCUUUGUUGACCGCCUCUGGUGUGAUAAUUAUCUACGCCGUUGAAAGUCUUCAUUUAUGAGGUUCUGCUUCUAACCGUCCUUUAGGGGACAACUCUUGACAUUUUGACCUCAAAUCAGGCAAGACUACCCGCUGAACUUAAGCAUAUCAAUAAGCGGAGGAAAAGAAACUAACAAGGAUUCCCCUAGUAACUGCGAGUGAAGCGGGAAAAGCUCAAAUUUAAAAUCUGGCGGUCUCUGGCCGUCCGAGUUGUAAUCUAGAGAAGCGUCUUCCGCGC